GGCGCAUUAGCUCAGCAGGUUAGAGCAACGGAAUCAUAAUCCGGAGGUCCCCUGUUCGAACCAGGGAUGCGCUACCA
rnacentral:tRNA from 1 species